CCCCAUUGGUGACGCUGGAACGGAAAGAAAUAAAAUAAAAUAAACCCCAAAAAGCCCCAAACCGGGCGGAACCCAAAGCGGCAGCGGGAAGCGCGCGCUACACGUUUGAAUUUCGCGCCGCGGCGGCGCGCGCUGAGAGCUGAUUGGCUGUCGCCGCCAGCGCGGCCCGCCUCCCAUCCCGGAAGUGUAACCUUCCAAACGUCCGGCGCUUCCCGCGCGCGGGAGGGCGCUGCGGCGCUGAGGGGAGCGGGGCCGCCGCCAUGUUGGGCGGGAUGGAGGUGGGGGGGCUGCGCCAUGGCGGCUCCGGUCACCCCGGGGCAGUGUCCGUGUUCGCCCCGUACUGUGUGAUCAGCCCCGGAGCCCGUCCGACCCGCUGCACCCGGAGCACAGCACGGAGGAGCACUUCGUUCCCAAAGCCCCGACACGGACAGCGCGGAACGAGAGCAGCCUCCCGCUUCCUCUUUGCAUUCCCAUCCCGGAUCACGGGGACGCGCUGUGUGGGGUCGGCAGCGUUCUGACGGACGCAGUGAUGGGAAUUUGGAGCAUCAUUUCAAAGCAGCAGCCGAUAGAGCUCCAGUCACCAAAGCAUGGCGCGUUUCCUUCCUUCUGCUUAUCAGCACAGCGCCUGACAGUGCUAGCAGCAUUCCUGGCCAUAAAGGGGGCUGUAAUGUAAUUGACGACAUAACGAUGCAGCUGGUGGAGGAACACUGGGGUCAGCCACCUUCGGUCACUGUGAAAGCAAAUAUAUUUGGAACAUGCCAUCUUCUGUGCAGCUGAGAACUGCCUCCCACCCCAAUACCCCAAACGGACACUAAUGAGAACAGCCGUCCUUUCUGGAAGCAGGGAGCCCUCCUGACCCAUCGCGUGGCCGUGCCAUCGCUGCGUGCUCACGAGUUCUUUUUUUGAGCAGCACUAUGGCUGCGUGUCGGGUGAACACACAAAAAGGAAGAACUGUCCUUCAAUGGCAGUGCUGGAAAACAGUGGAAACCAGUGCCACACACGGAGCAGUGAUCCUCAUGGGAUGGUCAAAUCACAAAGAGCAGAUUUGCUCUGAGGAUCUCCUACAAUCUGCACUCCGGUGGAAACAUCAGCACCAGACCUUCCAUACUUUGAUUCUGAUCACAGCGCUCCAUGAAACAGCAAAAAAAUGUGUCUGCAAUCACAAUCACUUUGGAUUCCUCUUGGCCCGUUGUCAUCUGCUUUACGGUCGGUGAGUCCCAUCAUCAGGGCUGGCAGCUCCACAUCACCAGUGCUCCAUCACCUGUCCCCAGUUUUUGUCUGCUGUCCUCCGGAGUUACCAUCAACCUCUCACCUCUGUGACAUCAGGACGUGAAUUUCUAACAGCAUUUUCAGACAAAUGCAGCUCCUUUUGCAUCCAUUUGCCCCUCUGCUCAUCCCUUGGCCACCCCAUGGCAAUGUAUUGAAGCCUGUCUACCAGCCCUAAAGCCAUCAGCAUUGCAGCGUAGUUAAUUAUGGGACAUUGCCAACCCCAUUGCUGUGUGCUCAGCAAAGAGUUUCACUUAGCAUCUGAAUCGCUCUCUGGAACAAUAAGUUAAUGAUAUAUUUUUCAUUGCUAUCAAAAUGCACUUUUUACAUUUAGUUUUACCUAUAUCCCUUAUGGGUUUGACUGUACCCAUAUCCAUUGUGGAUAUAGGGGUACCCAUACCCGUGGUGGGUUUAGCUGUGCCCAUACCCAUUGGGCUGUGCCCGUACCCGUUAUGGGUUGAACGUUCUCUUCCGUGCUGAAAAGCUACACAGGCAUCCAUCCAGGAACAGAACAUUGAUGCAAUCCAAACAUUUUGUGAAAAAUUAAAAUAUGGUGCAUCCUACGUGGAGUGCUCCAUCACAAAGUGCCCUUUUGGAAAAAGAAGUUGUAAAUGGACUCGUGUUCACACCACUUCUUAUGCAUCUCACAGUGAAGUCUGUGCAUCCUCACAGGGAACUCUUGGCCCAAAGAAAUCUCUUGGGGACACUUGGAAACCUGGGACACGUCGUCUUCAGGCCUGCAGCUUUUCUGAAGUUGUAGACCUUUUCUAGUUGUAGACCUAGUUGUCUGUUCUUUGGAAAAGAAUUGAAAAAGGAAAAAAAAAACCCAGACCAACAAACAAAACCCCAAGCCAUAUUCUUAGGGUACCACUCGGGGUCGUGAAGUGUUGCAUUUCAUGGACUGUGGGAUUUCAGGACUGUGAAAUGGUCCCAACACCACACGUCCUCUACAUUCCUUACUGCCCCGUGCUCUGUAGCAGCACUAUUUCCCACUGUGUUUCAAACACUCUUCACUGAAGUUUUUAAUAACUACAGAUGUCAAAAGGGUUUUUAGAGCUGAGCUUUGACGCUACCCAACAUCCCACCCAUUUGGUUGCUAACUCCACUCCCAACAUCCAAUUGCGCUCUUUUGUGAAAGCAGAGCAGGUUUUUGUUUUUUUUCUUCUUUUUUUGUCUAAAUGCAUUAAAAUGGUCCAAAAACACAGAAGGACAACCUCAGUGUUAUCGACAGGAGAUGGCAAAUUCCCACCCUACUACAGGGAGAUCCCCAGUGCUUAUGGAAUGAGCUGAAGCCCACAGGAUCUGGAGGGGCUGCCUCGAUGUUGCAGUGCUGUUCAGUCCUUCUCUGCUGUGCAGAAUUCCUGUUGCCAGUGGGGCCCGUAAUGAUGCUUGCAGAAAUCCACAGUUAAUUUUGGAUUGCUGUGGGUUGGGGUCUCUGGGUGUGGGACCCACAGGUCUCCAUCCACCUUAUUGGCACAAGGCUCUGCCUGGUGCGCUGCGUGUCAGCUCGCUCCGACGAGAGCAGGAUCUUUAAGUGCCUUCACCAGGUCCUCAUUUCCAACAUGCUCUCCCCUCUUCUGCUCCCACAGCCCUUCUGAGCCCCAGCACCAGGCAGCACAGUCCCACAUCACAUCCCUACUUUCUCCUCCAUCCCUGUAGGUAGAUCUGCCCCGGGUCCGUCUGUACCGAGGGGUCUGUGCUCCCCAGGACACACAGCGCGUUCCUGACCCUCAGCAGUGGGAAUCCACCAAGGGAAUGUUCAUAGAGGAUUGUCUGAGGGCAUGAAGCCAACACAGGAGCAUGGGAAGCACUCCUGUCUGCAGGGCUCCUUCUGACCACUGUGUGUGACAUGAGGAGACACUCACAGGGAGGCUCUGUGGGACCCUUCCCAAAGCUACCGGGGCCGUACAGAGGCAGAAUGAAUAUGGUAAAAAGACAGCAUCUACCCACAGCAACAGCUCACUAUGAGUUAAUAAGAACUGGCAGCAGAUGAACGGAGGUCAAGGCUGGGAGGAGCGGUGGGCACUUGGCAUUUACAGGGGGGAAAUAAAUGGAUAGGAAGGGGGAAAAUGAACUCUUUUCAUUUCUUGCAUUAGUGAUCCCCUGGGGCAGCAGUGUGUCGCAGUGAGCUGGGACUGAAAAGAAGAAUAGAUCUGUCUGUGGGCUGGUGGCAAAUGGACUGCGGGAUGCUCUUUGCUCACUGCGAGGAGAUGCAGUCUCUGUUUGCUCCGAGCUCUCUGCAGACCAUUGUUGGACAUGAUGGAACCCA